rnacentral:rRNA from 1 species
GGCUUAACACAUGCAAGUCGAACGCCCCGCAAGGGGAGUGGCAGACGGGUGAGUAACGCGUGGGAAUCUACCUAUCUCUACGGAAUAACCCAGGGAAACUUGGACUAAUACCGUAUACGCCCUUCGGGGGAAAGAUUUAUCGGGGAUAGAUGAGCCCGCGUUGGAUUAGCUAGUUGGUGGGGUAAAGGCCUACCAAGGCGACGAUCCAUAGCUGGUCUGAGAGGAUGAUCAGCCACAUUGGGACUGAGACACGGCCCAAACUCCUACGGGAGGCAGCAGUGGGGAAUAUUGGACAAUGGGCGCAAGCCUGAUCCAGCCAUGCCGCGUGAGUGAUGAAGGCCCUAGGGUUGUAAAGCUCUUUCAACGGUGAAGAUAAUGACGG